UUGACCUCAAAUCAGGUAGGAGUACCCGCUGAACUUAAGCAUAUCAAUAAGCGGAGGAAAAGAAACUAACAAGGAUUCCCCUAGUAACUGCGAGUGAAGCGGGAAAUGCUCAAAUUUAAAAUCUGGCAGUCUUUUGCUGUCCGAGUUGUAAUCUAGAGAAGUGUUGCUCACGCUG
rnacentral:rRNA from 1 species